rnacentral:rRNA from 1 species
CAGAGGCGAUGAAGGACGUGCUAAUCUGCGAUAAGCGUCGGUAAGGUGAUAUGAACCGUUAUAACCGGCGAUUUCCGAAUGGGGAAACCCAGUGUGUUUCGACACACUAUCAUUAACUGAAUCCAUAGGUUAAUGAGGCGAACCGGGGGAACUGAAACAUCUAAGUACCCCGAGGAAAAGAAAUCAACCGAGAUUCCCCCAGUAGCGGCGAGCGAACGGGGAGCAGCCCAGAGCCUGAAUCAGUAUGUGUGUUAGUGGAAGCGUCUGGAAAGGCGCGCGAUACAGGGUGACAGCCCCGUACACAAAAAUGCACAUGCUGUGAGCUCGAUGAGUAGGGCGGGACACGUGGUAUCCUGUCUGAAUAUGGGGGGACCAUCCUCCAAGGCUAAAUACUCCUGACUGACCGAUAGUGAACCAGUACCGUGAGGGAAAGGCGAAAAGAACCCCGGCGAGGGGAGUGAAAAAGAACCUGAAACCGUGUACGUACAAGCAGUGGGAGCACGCUUAGGCGUGUGACUGCGUACCUUUUGUAUAAUGGGUCAGCGACUUAUAUUCUGUAGCAAGGUUAACCGAAUAGGGGAGCCAAAGGGAAACCGAGUCUUAACUGGGCGUUAAGUUGCAGGGUAUAGACCCGAAACCCGGUGAUCUAGCCAUGGGCAGGUUGAAGGUUGGGUAACACUAACUGGAGGACCGAACCGACUAAUGUUGAAAAAUUAGCGGAUGACUUGUGGCUGGGGGUGAAAGGCCAAUCAAACCGGGAGAUAGCUGGUUCUCCCCGAAAGCUAUUUAGGUAGCGCCUCGUGAAUUCAUCUCCGGGGGUAGAGCACUGUUUCGGCAAGGGGGUCAUCCCGACUUACCAACCCGAUGCAAACUGCGAAUACCGGAGAAUGUUAUCACGGGAGACACACGGCGGGUGCUAACGUCCGUCGUGAAGAGGGAAACAACCCAGACCGCCAGCUAAGGUCCCAAAGUCAUGGUUAAGUGGGAAACGAUGUGGGAAGGCCCAGACAGCCAGGAUGUUGGCUUAGAAGCAGCCAUCAUUUAAAGAAAGCGUAAUAGCUCACUGGUCGAGUCGGCCUGCGCGGAAGAUGUAACGGGGCUAAACCAUGCACCGAAGCUGC